rnacentral:rRNA from 1 species
GGUUAAGCGACUAAGCGUACACGGUGGAUGCCCUGGCAGUCAGAGGCGAUGAAGGGCGUGCUAAUCUGCGAUAAGCGCCGGUAAGGUGAUAUGAACCGUUAUAACCGGCGAUACCCGAAUGGGGAAACCCAGUGUGACUCGUCACACUAUCAUUAACUGAAUCAUAGGUUAUGAGGCGACCGGGGAA